rnacentral:tRNA from 1 species
GGCUCGUUGGUCUAGGGGUAUGAUUCUUGCUUCGAGUGAGAGAGGUCUUGGGUUCAAAUCCCAGACGAGCCC